UAGAGUUUGAUCAUGGCUCAGAUUGAACGCUGGCGGCAGGCUUAACACAUGCAAGUCGAGCGGAAACGAUGGAGAGCUUGCUUUUCAGGCGUCGAGCGGCGGACGGGUGAGUAAUGCUUGGGAAUAUGCCUUAUGGUGGGGGACAACAGUUGGAAACGACUGCUAAUACCGCAUAACGUCUACGGACCAAAGGGGGGGAUCUUCGGACCUCUCGCCAUUUGAUUAGCCCAAGUGAGAUUAGCUAGUAGGUGAGGUAAGGGCUCACCUAGGCGACGAUCUCUAGCUGGUUUGAGAGGAUGAUCAGCCACACUGGGACUGAGACACGGCCCAGACUCCUACGGGAGGCAGCAGUGGGGAAUAUUGCACAAUGGGCGAAAGCCUGAUGCAGCCAUGCCGCGUGUGUGAAGAAGGCCUUCGGGUUGUAAAGCACUUUCAGUUGUGAGGAAAGGGUAUUGGUUAAUAGCCACUAUCUGUGACGUUAACAACAGAAGAAGCACCGGCUAACUUCGUGCCAGCAGCCGCGGUAAUACGAGGGGUGCAAGCGUUAAUCGGAAUUACUGGGCGUAAAGCGUACGUAGGCGGUUUGUUAAGCAAGAUGUGAAAGCCCAGGGCUCAACCUUGGAACUGCAUUUUGAACUGGCAAACUAGAGUACUGUAGAGGGGGGUAGAAUUUCA
rnacentral:rRNA from 1 species